GAGCUGAUCAGCCAUGCCGCGUGUGUGAAGAAGGUCUUCGGAUUGUAAAGCACUUUAAGUUGGGAGGAAGGGCAUUAACCUAAUACGUUAGUGUUUUGACGUUACCGACAGAAUAAGCACCGGCUAACUCUGUGCCAGCAGCCGCGGUAAU
rnacentral:rRNA from 1 species